rnacentral:rRNA from 1 species
GACAGAGGAUGCAAGCGUUAUCCGGAAUCACUGGGCGUAAAGCGUCUGUAGGUGGUUCAAUAAGUCAACUGUUAAAUCUUGAGGCUCAACUUCAAAAUCGCAGUCGAAACUAUUGGACUCGAGUAUAGUAGGGGUAAAGGGAAUUUCCAGUGGGGCGGUGAAAUGCGUAGAGAUUGGAAAGAACACCAAUGGCGAAAGCACUUUACUGGGCUAUUACUGACACUGAGAGACGAAAGCUAGGGUAGCAAAUGGG